UUGCACAGCAAUCUCUUUGCUAUGGAGGGACAGUUUCUGCUCACAGGGCAGUGUCUUUGGAGACACCUUGCACUAACAGCAGUGUAAUUGGCAGCUUGUUUUGGCUCUUUGUAGCAGGUGUCCCCGGGGCUGCCCACUGCCACUGAGACAGGUCAGAAGGACUUUGCACUUACAGCUCUGCCUGGCCUCGUAUUUCCCACUGCUCCAGUGCUGGACACUUAUGGCUGCACAGGAUCAGAGACACAACAGGCACAUCCAUGGUUGCCUUCUCAAUUUUCUUGCUCUGGAAGCAGAAACAGAAGAGGAGCUCCUGCCUGCAGCCUUGCAUAUGGGCAUCCUACGCAGCCUGACGGGUGGAAAAUGCUGCCGGAUUCCAAAACAACACAGUGCUGUUACAUCAUUUCUCUAGUGCUGGAAUAACAACAGAGGCUGCCUUAGGGCAGAUAUAGGUGCUAGCCAGUGUCCCUGCCACUGACACCUUCCUGAAGGCGUAUUUACACCCUAUGCUUUCCCUAUAGGAAAGGCCAGGUGUCUGUGCUGAGCCUCUCAGACCUGCUGCCCAUCUUUGAUGCUGCUGGCACAAGGUAGGAUGGUGGGCAGGCUUACCAGCUGUGGAGGAUGAAUAACUCUCUCCCCCGGCGUCAAAGUUUCAAUCCUUAGCCUUGGGGGGAGUUUAUUGGGUUUUGUAAACAGGAUAUUGGAAGUGAAGAGCAGAUGUUAGAAGCCAGCCUCCCGCUGCCUGAGACCCUACAGCUAUGCAGAGGGAUGCAAGGGGAUGCCCACAUGGGGAAACAGUCCCAAGCUGUGGAGAGGUUUCUGUUCCCAUCACUCAGGGAGCACAUUUUUACAGUGUUUUUAUAUAAAACUACUGCUGUGAGGAAUGAGUUGGCAGAAGAAUGAAACUGGUAGAAAGGUAGCUCUGAGGAGAGAGGGAGUGUGGUGUGAAAGGUAAAGUUGUAGUCCAGAGCAUGGUGGGAUCUGCCCACAGCUGACUUUUCUCUCUGUCCACCAGAUCCUUCCUUGUCUCCUCCUGCCUCAUCUGGGGACAGCACUCACAAGUCAGCUCAGCCAUCUGGCUCCCUUGUACCCUCUCUUAUCCUGCAGGACACAGCCUGAAGUUCUCAUAUAAAAACAAGUAAUUGUCCAGGCUCCUGGGAAAUAUAUGGAAGGGUACUUGUUUAAACUGUGGCAAUGCCCAUACCACAUUCCCUCCCGUGCACAUGUGAUGCUCUAUGUGUUUUUAACUAGCUGAAGGUUUUCACAGACUCAUUCCCUAAUAGAGAGACUUUAUAACAAAACAAACAGCACUCAAAAAAGUAUUUUACCUUCUUUAGUCAUGUUUGUAUAUGCUCUUCUGUUUUAAUUGUUCAGCCAUUAUGGGGCUUCAGCAUGUUUUGUUUGUAUAUUGUGGCCUGUGUUUUCAGCUUCAUGGUUAUCAAUAUUGUCUUUAUGCCUCCACUUGAUUUAGAGCAGCAUUUUCAGAGUCAUGGCCCAUUCACACUGUUUUUCCUUUAACUUCACUAAGCCUCUGUUGCUGCCAUCCACCUUUGAGACAGCAGCACCAUGACCUGAGGAUUUUUCCAGUUGUUGCAAAGCACUGAACAGGCAUGGUUCCUCUUCCUGAGACCCACAGGGUACACUGACUGGGCCUGGUAGUGGCAGGAGCUGGAUACCAGCUUCAGAUCUGCAUUAGGAGCUUAGUCAGCCCAGUUUUGACAUGUUCUGAUUCACGGUCUGGUAUCUUCUGACCUCUUGUCUCCACAUGGCACAACUUUGAGCUCACCACGUGCCCCUGAUGGGUGCACCGCUGGCUGCUUUGGGGUAGGCCCAGGCUUGGGAGGGUUCUCAGACGUGGACCAGCCUGAGGAGAUGGUCUGUCACCUCCCAGGGUGUAGGAUGUCUGGAAACUGGGUCUGCUCCCCUAAAAAUGCAAUUUUCUUUGCCACAGGAUUUUGCACUAGCCCAAGCUUUUGUGUUUCUUAAAGUUCUAGCAUCUGUAGGGUGUAACUUUUUCAAAGACUAAAAAAGACAGUUCAGCCAGCUUCAAUAUGACCCUCCCUUGUUUUCUUUUCCCUUUCUCCCAGCCUUUGAAUUUUCCUUUCCUCUGGACUGUAUAUUUUAUCCUUUAUCUUUUUUCCUCUACAACUCUAUUAUGGUGAUACCUAGCAAAGACCAGGACCCUAUUAGACACAGACAACAAAGACAGUUUUCAAAGAACCUGGCUAUAAAAUGCCUUUUUUGGAAGUUUCUGCUUUCAGUUACUUUUUUCUCUACUUUGUUUCCCAUCCUUUUUUCUGGAUAUUUCCUUCCUUCCUUCCUUCUUUCCUUCCUUCCAUCCAUCCAUCCAUCAUAGGAGUAUGGGAAUAAGGAGCUGGGAGGAGUAACAUCACUGAAGUGUUUCUUUUCUUCCCCAUCUACCGCUCUGUGUAGCAGCCAGAGAGGAAUACAGAAGCCUGUCCUGGAAAGGUUUCAGUGGAGCAGUCAGUGAGUUGAAGGGCUGGCUGCUCUUGCUUUCCAAUGGGAAAAGGAGGUGGCCUAGCUGCAAGGCAGCAAGUGACCUAUACAGGGGGCAUUACAUUUCCAGAUCCCAAGACCUCAUCUACCAAAUGUAGCCCAGCUGUGCCCCUGGCAAGGUCAGUGUGGAGAGCAGGCACCCACGUGGCUGUGUGAUGGCCCUGCUUUGCUCGGCAGAGUUACCUACCUCAAAUGCCGAGUUAGCGGGCAGAGAGCUAGCAUUCAUCCUUAGAAGCUCCUCCAGCACUGGGCAGUAUCCUUAAUCAACAUGUCUUUGAGGCCCUUGAUAAAGAAUACAGCAAAAUUAUUAUUUUAAUGGCAGCUAACAUACAGUUUUCGAAACACUCAGGAUUGUUUCGGUUUAUGCUUCAGACCACAACACUUACAAGACAAAUGCUAUGCUCCUCGGUGCAGCUUCCUUUAGCUAUGAUUUUAUUUCUUUAGGGCUAAAUUUUGUUUUAGCCCUAAUUAAAAUUUUAUUUCUGCUAAUCCUCUAUAAUAUUUUCCACCAUGGCAUUGCAAUGCCUGCACUGGCACUGAAGGCUUUUUUAUUUGCAAUUAGGGUUGACAUGCACACACAGACAGGGUCGGAACUUCUGGGUUGGCUUUCUUGGGGGAUUUCAGGCAGCUUAUGUGGGUUUUCUCAUUUAGGACUUUGGUUGUGUGCAGAUGCCUUCAGGCUUUGGGGAGAAGAGAGCUGCAGGACUCCUUUUGGUUAAAAGACAAGCUAAUGGGCCCAAGCAUACAUCAGUGGCUUUGAGAGGUUACACAGAACCAUAGAAUCAUAGGAUGGUUUGGUUUGGAAGUGACCUGAAUGAUCAUUCAGUUCCAACACCUUCCACUAGACCAGGCUGUUCAGACGCCUAUUUGUAGUGUCACUUCCUAUCACACUUGCAAUGGAGGCAAAUGUUUGCACUGUGAUAACAUUUCUUCUGCUAGAGCUUUCUGUUUGGGGAUGCUGCAACAUUUUCUGCAGGGCAUAUCGCCCUAUGUUGGGGUUGUGUGAAAUCUCAUCUAAAAGAAUUAUGGCUAGGCAAUAUUUUAUAUAUUUGACAUAUAUAACAAUGCAUAUUGCAUCACGGAACUUAGUGCAUGAUAACAUCCAAGGUGUAAGUUCAAGGGAUUCAGCCUGCAGCAUCCAGCCAGUGCUACAACCCCCACUCUUAGACAACUUUUGGGUGUUUAAAGUCAGGAGGCACCAUUUUAGCCACCUAUUCUGCUGUACCCGUAGGAGACUGGGUCGUGAGAAGACAGAAAUAAAUAAUCUGGUGAAAGGAGAAAGGAAAUGUCUCUAGGUGAGAGACAGGAUUCAAGUGAGGACUACCAGAGCUGCUGCUUUGCAUUUGACUUGAGCUGAGCAGUAGUUUUCCUUUCCGGUGUCAAGUGCUAGGCUUUGUAGGCAGCCAGGCGAAUGUAUGGCAUGGAUUUCAGGUGAUGAAGUGUGGAAGUCUAAGAUGGCAAAUUAAAAGUCCUGGGAAGAGAUCAAGGCCAGAGGGGGAAGAGCCUUGAGGGUAAGUCAUAUGAGUAGUGGCUGAGGUCAUUUGGUCUGUUCAGCCUGGAGAAGAAGAGACUGAGGGGAGACCUCAUUGCAGUCUGCAAUUUCCUCGUGAGGGGAAGAAGAGGGACAGGCACUGAUCUCUUCUCCGUCGUGAUCAGUGACAGGACCUGAGGGAACAGCCUGAAGUUGUGUCAGGGGAAGUUUAGGUUGGAUAUUAGUUUUAGACUACUGAGCCUUUCCCACCCGGCACCUUUUCAGGACCAUUGCUGUAGCUCUCCUUUGCGCUUUCUGCAAUCAGCUCAGUCUCCCUGAACUUCAGUGGCCAAAACUGCACAGAUGACACUUCAAAUGAAGCCUUGACAGCAUAGACGACAUGGGAAGAAUGGUUUCCUGUUUGUCACAAGCUGGGCUUCUGUUUGUACACCUCAUUAGAGCACUUUCAUUUUUUACUGCAGCAUGACCAUGCUCAUUCAUGUUGAGCUGACAUCCCUAGACCUCCCGCAGAACUGCUGCUGUGCUAGUUGUUCCCCAGUUGGUCUUGCAGUCCUUGAUGAUGCCUACAAAACCCCAGAGCUCCACUUUGUCUAUUCUGAAUGGUGCUUCUCUUCCCACCCCUCUAUCUCAUUUGUUGAGAUUGUUUUGCAUUCCCCUCCUGUUCUCCAAAGUGCUUGUUCUUCAUAGUGUCCUGUGCUAAUUUAAUAAGUGUUCCCUACUCUUGUGUUUUUUUCCAAAGAUAUUAAUGACAAUACUGUGCACUGCCAGACAUAAAACAGAUGGCUUCAGACUUCAUUUGAUAUGUACUGCCUGUUUGACAGUGAAGCAUUUAUAACUGCUCUUAAUCUGGUUUUCCAAGCAGCUGUACACUCCUCUAAUAGCAGUAUCUUUUAAGGUGUGUUUCUUUGCUUGGUUUAUGAAAGUGUCAGGUAAGACAAAGGCAAAAACUGCAUUAAAAUCAAGAUCUAAGACCUACUGUAAAAGGAAAUUAGAUUGAUUUGAUGUGAUUUGCUCUUGUCAAAUCAAUGCUUGCUGUUCUUCAUCUGCUUGUUGUCUUCUAGGUGCUGGAAAAUAGUUUAUUAAAUUAUCACUUCCAGUAUUUUUCCAGGAAUUGAUAUUAAUCUCCCUGAUCUCCAAUUCCUGGCUUCUCCUUUACAUCCUUCCCUUUCAUGAUAGGUGCUAGAUUUGCCUUUCCAAGUGUGCAGAAACACAUGCCCCCCAUCCCUGACUUCUGUGCUGACGGUGCCAAAUGGGCUUCAGCUGUUUUACCCAGUAUGGCAGAAGACUUUCAGGGCUUGUCAGUUGGAAUAUAGCUGAGUUAUUUAGACACUGUCUGACUGUUUUGUUCUUUCUUGCUGCCAGUAUUCUUACCCUCUGACUGGGUAUGCUUGUUGUGUUAAAUGGAGCACUUUUGAGCAAAGACUGAAGGAAAAAAGUAUCAAACAAAAAGCAUGUUUGACAUCAUCACUCAGUAUCUCCUGUUUGUGAAACUCAGGUCUUUCUUUAGCUCUCCCGUUGCUACUAGUGCAUGCACUUCAUACCCACUGUUUGUUGCAUCCCAUCUUCAUGUUGUUCUUCCAUGCUUAUGCUGUUCUUUUAAACUUAGUAGCCUGACCUAGUUCUACUUUCUGUGUGCUUCCUCUGCGCUUCUGCAACUAAUGAAGAGUUUGUGAUUUAGCCAGUUGAUACCUUACUAGCUUCCCUUUGUACUUGCGCUGUGUUGUCUCAGUACCAAGAAGCUCACAGCAGUUCUGUGCCUUUCAUAUAACUUCCUUAGGGCACUGCCAACUUCCAAAAUGUCCUUUCUGCCUAGGAUUUGUACCGCUGGGCUUGUGUGUACUAACACUGUGAGUUAGCUAAAGUCUGUCUCAAAGCUCACUGUUUUGUCUUUGUUUUCUUUUUUUCCCUUUGCCUCCUUUUCUAGAAACCAUGACUUCUAAUACUUCAAGAUCACUCUCACAUCAGUUGCUUGUCACCAUCACCUGCAAAAACAGUUCCCCUGUAUUAAUCAGAAUAAAAUUUUUUAGAGUAGCUGGCCAGGAAGAAGCUAGAGAGAUGGCAGCUGCUGUCAGUUCAGGGAAGGGCAUAGACUGAGUACCAGAAUAGAGCCAGACAGAGAAGCCCCUGCAUAUUUAGCACUUAAUGGUGUCAGUAAAAGUUAUAAUUACCUACCUAUGAACUUGUCAUUAGUUUCCAGGAAGUGCAGCUAACGGUGGUGCAAAUAUUUGUGUUAUUUGAGUAAAACAUGAACAAUGAAAGCAUGUUAUUAAAAUACUUUCUCAGUUCUG